AUGGCAACGGGCCACCGCGCCCUCGCCAAUCUCACUGCCGUGCUCCUCGCGCCCAUCUUCUUCGUGUGGCUGGCUGCCGCGCAACCACAGGUGUGCGGUGACAGCGGGAGCUACUCGGCGAACAGCACUUACCAGUCCAACCUCGGGCAGCUCUCCGUCAGCCUCCCCAAGAACGCAUCCGCGUCCCCAACGCUCUUCGCCACCGGCAGUGUGGGCUCCGUGCCGGACAUCGUCUACGCCCUCGCGCUCUGCCGCGGCGACACCAACGCCUCCGCCUGCGCGGCCUGCGUCACCACCGCCUUCCAGGACGCGCAGCAGCUCUGCGCCUUCAGCAAGGACGCGUCCGUCUUCUACGACCUCUGCCUCCUCCACUUCUCCAACCAGAACUUCCUGCCCGACACCGACGGGCGAGGCAACCAGUUCAUCUUCCAGACGGACGCGCGGAACGUGUCCGCGCCGGCGGUGGUGUUCGACAACGCCGUCGGCGUGCUCCUGAACGCCACCGCCGACUACGCGUCCUCGAACUCGUCCAAGCGGUUUGCCACGGGCGAGGAGAUGUUCGACAGAGGCGGAAUCCCCGCGAUCUACGCGCUGGUGCAGUGCACGCCGGACUUGGCGCCGGCCGCCUGCCGGAGUUGCCUCGGGGAUAUAAUUCAGAUGAUGCCCAGGUAUCUCAGCGGGGGGCAGAGCGGAAGGGCUUUUUGGAUCCGAUGCAACUACCGGUACGAGUUGUAUCCUUUCUUCUCAGGCAGCCCUCUUCUGCGGCUUCCGGUGCCGGCAUUUGCUGGAAUGCCGCCGUCACCAGUGGACAUUUCGCCGCCGUCACCGGUGGACAUUUCACCGCCGUCGAAUAAAAGAGGGCAGAAGGAAAGAUCAGCAGCAAAGAUCUCUGCAUCGGUGGCCAGUACCAUUGUCUUUGUAUUAAUACUUUCUGCUUCUGCUUUUAUUUGCUUCAAGAAAAGAAAACCUUUGAAGAAGCAGCCAGGACUGGCAUUUCAUAACGCUGCGAGAGGAAAAUGUAUGAUCUUUGAUUUACCUACACUGCAAGAGGCAACAGAGAACUUCUCCGAGGAGAAUAAGCUCGGAGAGGGCGGUUUUGGUACUGUGUACAAGGGAACACUUCCAGAUGAGCAAGAAGUGGCAGUGAAAAGGCUUUCACAGACUAGUAGAGAGGGACUGAAUCAGCUGCACAAUGAAGUGCAAGUUUUGGCUCAGCUCCAGCACAUAAAACUUGUCAGGUUACUGGGGUAUUGCUCACAUCAGAAUGAAGUGAUGCUUGUCUACGAGUUCGUAAAAAACGGGUGCCUCCACAACUUCCUGUUUGAUGAAAGGAAGGGAAGGAAAUUAAAUUGGAACCUGCGGUAUAAUAUCAUUGUUGGAAUCGCCAAGGGAAUAUUGUAUCUUCAUGAAGACUCGAGCAUAAGAAUCAUUCACCGGGAUUUGAAGUCUAACAACAUUUUGCUGGAUGAGAACAUGAAUCCAAAAAUCGCAGACUUCGGGUUGGCAAGGCUGUUAGGAGGAGGCCAUACUCAGACCAAGACAGCUAAUGUUGCUGGAACAUACGGUUAUAUGGCACCAGAGUAUGCAAUAUUUGGAAACGUGUCUCCCAAGAUUGAUAUUUUCAGCUUCGGUGUUUUAAUCCUCAAGAUUGUAACUAGGAGAAAGAAUAACAGUUCGGAUGAUUACAAUAACACAGUGAAUCUCCUAAGCGAUGUAUAUAACUGCUGGACUAAGGAUAUGACAUUGCAAAUAGUUGACAAAUCGCUCAAUGUAUACUCCAAAAGUGAAGUAUUGCGCUGCAUCCACAUCGGUCUUCUUUGCAUCCAAGAGGAUCCAGAUGACAGACCGAACAUAUUCUCAGUUGUACUCAUGCUAACCCGAGACAGAGUAAAACUACAGCCACCACGACAACCAGCAUUUUUCUUUGCGAGAGACUCCAGUUCAGUUUUCGAACAUGCCAGACAUGGCAAUUAUAUAUACGACAAAUCUGAUGUGAUUGUGGAGGAUAAUUUCUCAGUGAAUGAGGUCACUAAUACUGAUCCCUAUCCUAGAUAA
rnacentral:rRNA from 1 species